rnacentral:rRNA from 1 species
GCGAGCGAAGCGGGAUGAGCUCAAAUUUGUAAUCUGGCGUCCUUUGGGCGUCCGAGUUGUAAUCUAUAGAAACGUUUUCCGUGCCGGACCACGUCCAAGUCCCCUGGAAUGGGGUAUCAAAGAGGGUGAGAAUCCCGUGCUUGACGUGAUGACCGGUGCUCUGUGAUACGUUCUCUACGAGUCGAGUUGUUUGGGAAUGCAGCUCUAAAUGGGUGGUAGACUCCAUCUAAGGCUAAAUAUUGGCGAGAGACCGAUAGCGAACAAGUACCGUGAGGGAAAGAUGAAAAGCACUUUGGAAAGAGAGUUAAACAGUAUGUGAAAUUGUUGAAAGGGAAACGAUUGAAGUCAGUCGUGUCCAUUGGGUUCAGCCGGGUCUCCCGGUCUAUUCCCUUUGGACGGGUCAACAUCGGUUUUGUUCGGCGGAUAAUGGCUGCGGGAAGGUGGCACCCCUCGGGGUGUGUUAUAGCCCGCUGUCGCAUACGCUGGACGAGACCGAGGACUGCAGCUCGCCCUUGUGGCCGGGGGUUCGCCCCACGUCCGAGCUUAGGAUGUUGGCAUAAUGGCUUUAAACGACCC